CAAGGGGUAGUUUAAGUAAAAUGUUAGUUUUGGGAAUUAAUGAUAGGAGGAUUCUUCCUUCCCUUGA
rnacentral:tRNA from 1 species